CCCUCAGCGGUGAGGCCGCGGUCGCUCUGAACCCACCUUUAUAACUCCAGUUGGCACCCUUCUCAGAUUCUUUUCUUUUUUUUAAUAUUGUGAAUACUCGGGCCUUUGGACUGAGCCAGGCUUUUUUAUUUUUCCUCGAGACGGGGUUUUGCUAAAGUGCUAAGCUGCCCAGGCUAGGUUCGAAUUUACGGUCCUCCUGCCUCAGCCUUCCAGAGCGCUGGAAUUAUAGUUGUGUGCCACCGUGUCUGGCCUUUUUCAGUUUCCUAUGACGGUGUUUUUUGUUGGUAUGAGCGAUCAGAGUAUCACAGUAAGGUUGCAGGCUGGUUUUAGGUUUUUUUUUUCUUUUUGCGUUGCUGGGGAUGGAACCGAACGGAGGCCCUGUACCUGGUGGAUAAGCGCUGUACCACUGAGCCGCCGUCCUCUGCUCAGCAGGUUGUUUUUUGGUUUUGUUUUUUGAGACAGGGCCUGGCUUUGCUGUUCAGCCCGGCCUUGAACACCCAGCCUUGGGGGCAGGUUUUAAAAGCUUCACCAUCCUAGUUGGGGUGGUGGUGCACGCCUAUAAUCCCUGUAGUGGGGGUGGGGGAAGGCUGAGGCAGGAGGAUCCCUGGAGUUCAGGACCAGCCUGGGCUAUGUAGUAAGUUCAAUUCAAGGCCAGCCUGAACUUUGCAACCCUGUCUCAACCACCAAAACAAAACACAUAACAAAAAGCUUCCCCAUCAGACCCUCCCUCUCAGAGUGCGAGGAAGUAGAGGGCUCCUUAGAAAACUGCUUCAGGGGGCAGGGUGGUUUUAGAGGAGGAGCUUUCACCUUGGAAUGGAAAAAGGAGCUGGGAGCGGUUUGCAUCAGUUUGCAUCUCAAUGGGUGUGAACAAGAUGCAGUUCUGUUGUCAAGGACCUGUUUGUUCUGUUCUGCCACUUUCAAUGGACACACCACUAAAGAGUGCUGGGAAAGUCUGGAACUUCUUCACUCCUCCUGAGCAAAGAUGUUACUGAUAUUUCAUACGUGAGACUGAAAAGCUCUGCUGGGAACAUUAUCCACAACACAAAAGGGAAGAUCUAUUCUACAAAUGUAAUUCCCACACAACAUGAUUGUUCCCGGUCAAACGUAAUACUACAGCAACAGCAAGUUAAAGGCAUUUAAGGAAGUUGUGGAGCUAGAAGGG